UCAUCAACGUAAUAUGUCUCUGCUCUUUCCCUCUUUACUAGUUCUAACUCAACUUAUCAAUGCAUGUCUCUGCUCACCGACGAUAGGGGCAUAACUUUUGUGCAACUCUUGCUAUUAUUGUAUUCCAUGAUCUGAGACUGCAUCUCUCAGGUUCUCGGUCCAUAAUCAUCAUUUUGUAAUUCGAUAUUUCACGGCAUUCAAUAUCAAUGGCGGGAUCGCGGGAAGAUAUGGAGGGGUUCUAUUUAACCUGCGAAAUCCGCCCAUAUUUUCCCAUCCGGCUAGCAGAGGCAGGAGCUACGGGGGAAGCAGGAGCAUCGGGAGUAGAGGCGGGGACGGCAAUAGAGCAAGCGGCAAUUGAUCUUGAAGCCAUAGCCCAAGCUGGGUCGAAUCCAUUUUUCGAGGGGUUCCACAUUUGCAUGCGAAAAACAAAUAGUUUGUACCUAAUUGAAUGCUUUGGCUACUGCUGCUAAAGUGUAGACACUGUUGGAAGGGCCCUCCUUGCAGAUUCAUUCGCAUCAGGAAAUCCUGACCUCACAAUGCAGUAGUUUAGCUUCACAUGGCUAGGACAAUGCAACUGUGAAUGUUCAAAGCUUUAGGUCUUCUGAAACCCUAGCCACACAGUACACUAUAAAGGUAAAGUGGUCCCUUUUGAACUUCCUGAUGAUUUGAUUGAAGUUAUUUCUGAAUGUAAUGUUAAAACUAUUAUCCUGUUCUUUCUCAAAGGAGUCCCUGGAUUAUUUUAAAUGGACCCAUAAUAACUGGGAAUGGAUUAUAGAGACUGUUUGGGGAUUUGGAAGAGAUAAAACAAACAAUUUGUACUUGAUGGAAUGCUUUGGCUGCUACUGCUAACGUGGAGGCACUGUUGGCAGGACCCUCCUUGCAGAUUCAGAUCACUUUACCUUCUUGCGUCUCAAUGGUUGACAUGGUUGAUUCUAGAGCUGCCGAAGUGGAGGCAUCUUGGGUUUUGACAUUUCGAUUUGUUGGGGGCAAGGCCGGUUGGGAAGACUCAUGAGGUCCUUUUAGAUGCAUAGAUUCCACGUUUUCAAAGCCGAUCAUUGGAAUGGGCAUUGGAUUUGAUGUGGUCCCUCUUGGCGUUGUCAAUUUCUGGUUUGCCUUGAUACCUAGCCUUUUUUUUCAUUCUUUUUGGCUUAAUCUUCAAUGAAGUGUCGCCUCCAGGGCAAUCAAUCUAGGCAAAGAAGGAAUCCUGAGUGCCUUCUCUGAUUUCAUCAGGUCAAGCAAAUGAUAUCACUUUACCUUCUCACAUCUUAAUGGUUGACAUGGUUGAUUCUGGAGCUGAAUAAGUAGAGGUAUAUUGGGUUUUGACAUUUUGAUUUGUUGGGGCCAGGGUCGGUUGGGAAGACUCGUGAGGUCCUUUUAGAUGCAUAUAUUCCACAUUUUCAAAACCAAUCAUUAGAAGGGCAUUGGAUUUGAUGUGGUCCAUCUUUGUUGUCCGUUUCUGGUUUGCCUCGAUCCCUAGCAUUUUUUUUCAUGCUUUUUGGCUUAAUCUUCAGGUGCGUUGCUUAUGAUUCCACAUUUGCAUGCGCGUCUGCCAGAGCAUUUCCAACUUUAAUAGCUGGCAAAAACCCAUUUUUUGGAACUCUCGCUAUCAUCGUAUUCCAUGAGACUGCAUCUCUAUGAGGUUUUUUUAUCAAACAAUUUAAGUGCAUUGUCUAUGAUUCCAUUAUUUCACAUGUAUGUCUGGUGGGCAGUUGGAACUUACAACAUAUGAUAAAGAUUAUUCAUUCAAUGAGAGACAGACCAAAUGCAGUUAGCUUUUCAUCCUAAUGAUAGAUAGAUAAUUCUAUUUCCUCCUCUUGUGUGCACCAAGACAAUGGCUAGGGUUGUUCAAUCUGGCUUUACGCCUGUCAAAUGCAUUUUCUUGACAGUUUCUAAAGCCUUUCCAACAAAUUCAUUUGUGCACCUUCUACAACCAUUUCAUUCGUCAAGAUGACAUCUCUUCCAGGCAUUCUGUUAAACAAUCCACGUGCUAUCUUUGUAGAUACAUACUAGGUAAUCUUCUUGCAAGAACCUAGAAUGGUGUUUCAUGUUUUCUGCAGCUUUGAUGUUUCUUUAUUCUCAAGACUCCUGACUCGGGUAAAAUUUUCCCUUGCAAACACUCAAUUUUGCAGUGUUCCAGGUUAAAGGGUUUUCUCUAUUGCUACUGAGGGAAGAAGAGCUGUAGAAAAUGAGCUAAUUGGUGCUACUAGCUGGAGGACAGCUUGAAAUGAUUGUCAAUCACCUAGCUUCGGUGACAAAACUGAGCUUAAGAUGGCAAGGGCAAUAUGACGUGAAUCGUGAUCAAGAAAACGGAUAUCACCAAAGGCAGAGGACGCCAAAUCUACAUUCAUAGCUUUGUAAAGAAACAAACCAACAAUGUUUAGAAUAUUCCUGCAAAAGAAAACAAGUUGGGAAUUCCUUUACCCUACAAGGUCUUUGAUCUGUUGCCUGUAAUUUGUAUUGGGUGUCGGUAUUAAUCCAUGGGCAUUAGAAACCAUCGUGAAUCCCCAUCCAAACUCUACCAAUGCAAAAGACACAAUGAAAACACAAGGGAACACCACUAAAGAGUCAUCCACAUGCCAGUUGAAGCAGGGUAGAGAAGUCAUGCAAACUAGAUGAUGGUCUCUUUUUGUAAAAAUAUAUUUGUCAUAAUGUAAAAUGCACGAGUUAAGAACUUAGAAGUGAGCUUAUAGUUAUUCUUUCUUACAUCUAACAUAUUGUUUGUAGUGGUGUGAAUGUCUAUACAACACUUGCUUCAGCAAGUGGUGCUUUCUAUGGCCCUCUACAUGGAGGGGUGAAUGAGGUAUAGCUGGGUUAUCUUGGACUUGACGUAGUAUUGUGUUAAUCUUUGGAAUCUUGGAUAACCCUUCUACCAUUGAUUUUAUUCUUUCAGAACACGUCUUGAACCUCCAUGGAAGAUGUAUAUCCAUCCUUAUUCAUGUCAUACACUCCGAUGCAUCAUGAAGCAGUUGAUCCUCAUCAUGGCUUUGAUUCAUUAGGUAAUUAUACAACCAUGUACAUUCAUUAAAUAUAAAGAAAGAAUCUUGGCUUUUAGAAAGAGGCGUCACAAAGGAUUUAAGUCUAGUUCUGAUACAGAUUCCACCAGACUAUUUAAAAAGCAAUGUAUUUUGUGUAAUGUUACCUUGCCCUCUCUGUUUUCCGCAAGGAUACCAUACAUUAUACACAUUUCAUCAGGCUGUAGUGAAAGUACUUACUCAUCUCUGUAAACUGCCAUGUAAUUGCAGAAGUCUGUCAUAUUAAAUUUUCUUGAUAUUCUUUGUCAAGCUCAACCAUUCCACUGAGCUGGUGUAUAGAUUCAUUAGUGAUAACGCUUCUUGUAUAUGCAUUCUCUUCGGAUGGAGUUCCAACAGAACCAGAUCCACUAUUUACACAGCGAUUUGCAUCCGUCCUUAGUUUGUCUUCUUGAAAUCCAAGAAUGUUUUGAUGGAAAAUACUCUUGAACGUAUCAGUCUUUUUCAUAUAGUUCUUAUUGGCAUUCACUUGUCCUUUCAAGUCCCGAAGCACGUCCGUUGUCUGAUUUAUUAGUAAAGACAACUCAUCAUUUUUUUGUUUUCCAGUGGAAAUCAUGGCCAUAACACCAAUCCCUACUCCAUAACUUAGCCUUAAAUCACCUGCAAGUAGAACAAAACCAAAAUAGAAGUUUUAAUAAACUAAAUAGAGAUUAUACCAUUUAUCUCCCAAAAAAAGAAAUGAUGUUUAAUCAUCAAAGCUGUGAUCUAUAAUGAUAGAGCAUUUUAUUUUGCAUUUGUGCUUUUAUAAUGCACGGGGCUUAGAUAAACAACACACAAAUGUAGCAAAUAGAAACACAACAUUCAACCAUUGAAUGAGCAUCAACAAAUAUUCAACCAUCCUAUUCACAUCUAAUUUGAUUUGUGCCCAUUUUAAAUAUAUCAAAACAUUUAGCACUCGGAAAUCCUAAAUACCAGACUGUUUUAUUGUGGGAAAAAUUGAGUAGAAUAAAGUUAAAUGAGCAUGAAAAUCACAGUUUACAACCUUUAAAAGUGAAAAAUGCAAGUUAUUCAAAAAUUUCAAUAAAAAUAACAGUCAACAUUGUUUUCUGAAAAUAUUAUAAUUUUUCAUGACAUAUUCGUCUCCACAUAGACAUCUAAUAUUUUAUAAGAGAUUGCAAUGUUUUUGAAAUAUUUAUGUCCAUUAGUUGCUCCAACUAAUGGAAACAUAAAUAUAAUGAGAAGUUAGAUCUUUAUUUCUAACUUGCUUUUAGUUUUUCAUUUCUAAAAUAAUUUUCAACAUAGAUCUAGAUUACUUUUACCAUAGAUUAGUGUCUAGAUAAAAUAAGCCUUUGAUAAUUAAGCAGCAGUUGUUACACAUUUGCAAAGGCUAAUCUUGGGACUACAAGUGUAAUCACAAUGCACAGGAAAUAAUUCCAAAGUUUUUUCCACUUUUUCCUCUGCAGUAAACCUCCUUUAUCAGUAAUUCAUUUCUUGAGAUCACCGUAGAAUAAGAUUUUGAUUGCUACAAAAUAACAGUUGUUACACAUUCAAAAAGACUAAUCUUGAAACUACAAAUAAUAUUAUUGUUCUCCUUUCCUAAAACCGAACAUAGAGGGAAAAGAAAACGAUGAGUAAUGUUUAUUUGUUGGACACAGACUAGAAAGCCAAGAUGGGAUCUUGCGCUAAUGAAUCCCCCAUUAAUAAAAUACCCAAUAAGCUUCAAAAGAUAUAAAAUGCUGAAAUUGGUUGGAAGGAAAAUACGCGUGUAAGAUUUGAUGAUAGCAGUAAGUGGAAUUCUUCAUAGCUUCCCCAGUGUGGCGAGGCAACCAUGUUCUCCAGGAAGAUCUGUGUGUGCUAUCUAUUAAAGUCUUUUUUUAACACUCUCACUUUGAUACCAUGCCAUUGAUGGAACCCCAAAAUCAUUUGAACCAUUGGACGCAUCAAAAUAUGUGUCCCAGUUACCAUGUGUUUCUUGAGCAAACAAUUUAAUUGUACUAAAUUUGUCAGGUCAUUCAACUCAAAAAAACAUCCUGCAGCAUAUACAUAUCCAUAAGGCCAUUCCACAAAAAAUGGAAUGUUCUAGAAAAUCUUCAUACCCUUUACGUUCCUUUUCACAUAAAGGCUUUGUAGAAGAAUUCAUCCAUAUAUCUUCAUCUUAAAACUACAUUUUUGUAUAUGGUUAAAGACCUUCAGCAAAAUUGAAGGUUAUUCUAAUAUUUAUUGGUUAAAGGGUAUAUUUUAUUUCUCUUUAUUGGGGAAAACCAAUUUAAUUGAACUGCUCUACUUUUCUCAUAUUGUUUCCCUUUUUACGAAUUUUUCAGAUCUGAUAUUUUGAUUUUCUAAUUUUUCUAUAUCAGAUCUGAACAUUCUUAUGUUUUGAUUCCCUUAUCUCUUCUGAUCUUUGAUUUGUGUGCCCUAAUCACAAAGAAUCUAUCACCUUCCAUUUAAGAGGAGGCCCAGGUUAAACACAACAAUGGCCUUGAACCGAACUGAUGCACCUCUUAUUUUGAAAAUUUCAACACUAUAGUCUAUCUUAAUGAUGAGGUUCCCAUAUUGCGACCAUAGAUAAGAGGGGUAUUGCUCAUACUAUGCAAAUUCUCACAAUGAUAAUAAUACUAAUCCUUCUGAUCUAGUUGAUCUAGCUUAUACCCAUGACGAAAUCAUCUUUCCCUUUAAAACUUAAUCUUCACAUAAAAAAAUUCCAGUAUGUAAUUCCAGUGGUAUCUAACUGUCUUUUAGGACUGUUGUUGACUGAUCUACAAGACUUUUAAGGUUUGUAGUAAUAAAGAUCUCUAUGACUAACAGUGGCUCUCAUGUGUUGCUAACCAUAAUCUCACUCAAUGGUAGCUGAGACAAACCAUAUUCACUGUCUUUUAAUGCCUUCUAAGCUACUAUUAUAAGGUGCUCUUUCUACACUGUUUGUAGGCUGCUCUAUGAGUGGAUUAUGACUGCAUUUCUUAUUUAAGACACUGUGAUCUUAUGACAAUGAGUAUAUUACUACACAGGGGGCUGUGACUAAUCUAUCCCCUUACUCAGAGCUACCCUUAGGAGUGAUUUGAUGACCAUGUUACCUGCGUAGAUAACUGCUAUCAUACAUGUUACCUUAAGACUAAUUAAUUAAUUUGUUCAACAUUUCCCUAUACCACUUUCUGUCUUUUCAAAUACACAGUAAAGCAAAGGUUACUAGAUCAAAUAACGUGUUGGAUUUUUCUCCUUUUCUAUUCUAUGUUGGUACAUGACAUUGUAGAUAAUAGUAAUAGGACGGUCAUUUACUCAAUGUCAAUUUUUCCCUGACCUGAUCACUUCCCUGUGCAGGACUGUGACUGCUUUUACUGUACUUUGUGGCCUUAAUGACUUAUAUGGACUGUAUAUUACCCUUCAGGCUUACACUCUGUUGCAACAAGAUUAUUAAUGGAAUGAAGGUGCUGUCUCUGAGAACUACUGUGUAUUGGCUUAUUAAAACCCCCAAUCUGAAGCUCAACUGAGACAUUUUACUUUUGACUCUUUGUUUGAAUGCAAACUUGAGAUUCUUCUAUGCUUGUACUUAUGAAAAAUAAAUGAUUUUGGCCUCCUAAAGACUCCAAGUCACUUUGGCUUGAAGCUACAAAAUUCAUCUUUUGAGCUUUAGAGCUUCGUUUCUAGCUCUUUAUGUCUUUCUCUCAAAAGGUCAUGAGCCUCCCUUAUGACUGUUCUAAGCUUGUUCAUCUCACUGCAUGAUAACUUGAUUAUUGACGUUGUUCUUCCUUCAUUCUUGGUUGGGACUGCUCUUGUUCUUCAUGAGGAUUUGGAUUAUGCUUUAUGUCUAUCCACAUGACUAAUCCGAGUCUCAUGUCUCAACCAAAAGAUUAUUCUAUGUUUGAGGAUACUGUGACAGUGAUUUUUCUCUUAACUGCUUUCUAUGCAUAAUAGUUCAACACUAUGUAUUCACUACCAAUGAUUUCCAUCUUUCUCAGCAUUCAAUGUCUCUUUAUGACUGGUUUUUUGUUCUCAAUACACUGCUCAUUGUAUUCUUGUAGUCUCUGUCUUCGCACUGUAAAAAACAACCCAACACUCAUGACUAUAUAUUUUGAUGGAAGAUGUUGUUCUCUGUUUUUAUUGAUUGUCUUUAGCUCUGAGAUAACUUAGACCUAUGCAUUGAUCUGUGGCUUUGUAUAGUUGACUGUGAAUGUGGCCUUUUCUCUUCAUAUCACUAUCUUAUUUCAAUCAUUGUCCUAGAGUUCUAGUUGCUACUCAAGAGGGUUCAUUCAUAAGUAUUCUCAUUGCACUCAUCAUGCUCUAUUAGGACUGCCUUAAUGUCUAUUAUUUGAUCUCGGGGUUGCUCUGUCAUGCUCUCAUGUUCUCGUUGUCCUUGGAGUAUGCCCUUGAUGUCUUUUCAUGACUUUAAUCUCUGAUCGGAAACAGUGACUGUGUAUUUAUUCACAGACUUGCUACAACUUGGUACCAUGCACAUAGCUCUCCCUAUUUUCAUGGGCCUAGAACUCUCAAUUCAUAGCAACCAUUAUCACUGGUAAAACUCUUUGACUGUUCUUGACUUCAAAUUUAUCCUGAGAACCCUGCUUCCUGCACUGUUGCACUGUCCUUUAUGACUCUGUGUCUGUGAAUAGGAUUCCAUGAAAACCCCCCUUUGUGUCUAAAAACUUGAAUAAGAAACUCUAUUCAAUCGAGAACAGGAUCUCUACAUUCUUUCACUGAAUGCCAUUGACCGUACACUGAUUGUCAUUUCCCUAUGGUCAAUGGCAUUCACUACUAUAACUUCAUAUGAGGAUAUUGUUUGCUUGAGGAGGGCAAUUGUUAUGCUCGGAAUAAUACCCUAGGCUUGGAGAGUAGAGUCUUACAACAAUACGGCGAUAAGAAACACUAGCAUUCUAAUAUCUUCUUUUUUCUAUCUUAUAUGAUCUAGGUUUAAUACUCAGACUGAGCAUCUCUUUUGAGCAAUUUAAAGAAAAAAUAAGAAAUUUAUGCAUGUAUAGUGACUUUUGCUUUAAUGAAUGUGGUAAAGGAGUUGAGAUGCAUGACUUGUGAAGGGAACUGCAUCAAGCUUAAAAUAGUUCUAUACAUGGCUUAAUCUUCUUGAUCUUUAUGAAUCACAACAACUUCUCCUCCUUUUGGAGUCCAUCACACGUAGAAUGCCCUGAAGUAUCUCAUUAGCUGAUCAAAAUCCGCUUUGAACUACUCCUCAACUAUUUCUUCCACACAUGCAGCAUAUCAAGUUACACUUACUAUGUGGCUAUAAGGGGAAGCUUUCUCAAAUCUGCUCAUUAGCUACAACUUCCACCAUAGUUUGAUGUGACAAAUUAAGCAGAGUUUAGGGCUUCAUCUUCUUACUAUGAGAAGUCUAUCACACAUAGAAUUAAUUCAAGGUUGCCUCAAAACUCAUGAUGAUAGCUCACUUUUUACUUCAAGGGCUCUAUCUCUUUCAUUGACCCCAUGACUUGUAUUCCCAUGUACUAUUUUAGUAGGUAAAUCAUGCUUCGGAACAUGCCAAAAAAGUCUACUUCUUUUGCCUAAAUUCAAGAUACACUAGUUUUCUAGUUUUGUGUUAUAAUUUUAAGAAUAGUCCACAUGGCACAUACAAAUGAACUAUAAGAGUUGUUUUGCAAAAUAACACGUGGAUUCAAACAUCUUAGCUAAUGCAAUUACGUAACCCAUCUGGGUCCUUUAAUCCUUAUUUUCAAACUUGAAGUUAAAAAACAUAUAGCAUAUCGACCCCAACAUGUGAUUAAAGUGCAGACAAAUUACCAAAAAAGGACCGGGGUCUCAAUCCUUGUGUAUUUGAACAACUUUUUGCUUGAAUCCAAGAGGCAAGUCAGAAUUUGUAUUAUUGCUAGGACUAAUUGAUAGAAGUAGAUGGUCUAUUUUUUCACUUAUUGUUGUACCCUGCAUUGAAAUGGUGUUCUCAUUUAUGCAUCCCUACACUCGUUUCUCCAAGUGACUAUGUUAUUAUUGUGUUCACAAUCUAGAAUAAUUGUUGUUUCUUUCUUAUUACUUACUUAUGCCUUAGUUUUCCAUUUUGACUUUUGAAAUCAUCGCUGGCUAAUUUUAUUAAUCUUCAUCAUUGAUUGAUGCUUGUAAUCAUCUUCGGUAAUAUAUGAAGCAUACUAAUACUUAUGUUAUUGAUCGAUAUUCUCCAGUAUUAUAGGGGCACAUUCUGUCUAUAAUUGAUUCAAUCAUUGUUCUAUCUUGACUUCAAUGCUUUAGAUGAAAUUUAUGUUAUAUCUCUGUUGAUGCCCUUCUUGUUUGGUAUGAUGGUCCAUUGCUUAAUAUUUGUAUCUUUCUCUUAUGUGGAUCGCUGGCUUUAAUGGCUUGUUAUCAUUGCUAUAGUUGGCUUAAUCAACCUAUUAAUAGAACUAAUGUAUAAUCAACUCAGCUCGUUGUCUUUGAUCUCUGUCUUUUAUAAUAAAUAUGAACACUUCUUAUUUAUACUGCUUUUAUGGAGUUCUUGGGUCGCUGUAUUAUCAUAGUCAUUUGUUGUUUUCUAGGUCAAAGAUGGGGAUAUGACACAUUGUAGUUGUGUUAGACCUCUACUUGUUGUUAUCAAAUUGCUAAAUGUUCAAUUAUCCAAUUACACUGUAAGCAUGGAACUUAGAAGAUUUACAAGAAACUUUGCUACUUCUUUGAAUGUGUCUCCCACUCAAGUGGUUCCUGUAGCAAGAUGGGGUGGAAAUAUUAUUGUCAAAAAUGUGGAUGCCCCUGUCCAUAUUUGUCAAAAAAUGUGGCUACUUGGGUUUCAUUUAUGACCAUAUUUGUAUGGUUUCUCCUUGGCGAGAGAAAGAAUAUGCCAAUUGAAGAAAACGACAUUGGUUGUGUAAGAAGUAUGUCAGAGAUGUUGAUUUAAGUGAUGAUGAAGCAGAUGAUGCCUAUCCCAAACAUGAAAGUGGGUGGUUUUACAUUAGGAUCAACUAUAAUUUUUCUUCUAAUAGUUUGCCUUUCUUAAUUCCAUGGUUUCAGCUGCAUAACCUUCUAGUUGUACUGAGCCAAAGCCCCAUCCAGGAUUGUAAGCUACUAAAAAUUCCACAAUCAGCCAUGCUGCAAAAAAUGGAUUGUAAGCUGCUAAAAAUGUCUCUAUCCAGUCAUGUGAAGUUUCGUUUUAUUGUGCUCAUCUAUACUUGUCAAAAAUGUGGAUGCCCCUAUCCACCGUGCAUGGAGUUAGUAGUAUUGAAGGAUUUGGCUUGUGGCCAUAAGGCAACUAUGCGUUGCUGUGAAGACCCUGCUACCUUCUCUUGUAAAGAAGCUUGUUGUGAAGACUUUGCUACCAUUUCCUGUAUCCAAUAUCCUCUAGAGAAACACCACAUCAUUAUGUAAUAUACAGAACAUUGAAAAUAAAUAAAAUUAAUAGGG